rnacentral:rRNA from 1 species
UACGAAGGGGGCUAGCGUUGCUCGGAAUUACUGGGCGUAAAGCGCACGUAGGCGGUCUUUUAAGUCGGGGGUGAAAUCCUGGAGCUCAACUCCAGAACUGCCUUCGAUACUGGAAGACUUGAGUCCGGGAGAGGUGAGUGGAACUGCGAGUGUAGAGGUGAAAUUCGUAGAUAUUCGCAAGAACACCAGUGGCGAAGGCGGCUCACUGGUCCGGUACUGACGCUGAGGCGCGAAAGCGUGGGGAGCAAACAGG